GAUGAACGCUAGCGGCAGGCCUAAUACAUGCAAGUCGAACGGUGUCUUCGGACAUAGUGGCGCACGGGUGCGUAACACGUAUGCAACCUACCUUACAUUGGGGGAUAGCCUUUCGAAAGGGAGAUUAAUACCGCAUAAGACAGUAACUAGGCAUCUAGUAGCUGUUAAAGAUUUAUCGAUGUAAGCUGGGCAUGCGUCCAAUUAGCUAGUUGGUGAGGUAACGGCUCACCAAGGCAAUGAUUGGUAGGGGAACUGAGAGGUCAAUCCCCCACACUGGCACUGAGAUACGGGCCAGACUCCUACGGGAGGCAGCAGUAGGGAAUAUUGGGCAAUGGACGCAAGUCUGACCCAGCCAUGCCGCGUGCAGGAUGAAGGCGUUAUGCGUUGUAAACUGCUUUUAUACAGGAAGAAACGACUCUUGCGAGAGGCAUUGACGGUACUGUAUGAAUAAGCACCGGCUAACUCCGUGCCAGCAGCCGCGGUAACAC
rnacentral:rRNA from 1 species